rnacentral:rRNA from 1 species
UACGUAGGUGGCAAGCGUUGUCCGGAAUUAUUGGGCGUAAAGCGUGCGCAGGUGGAUCUGCCAGUCUGUCUUAAAAGUCCGGGGCUUAACCCCGUGAUGGGAUGGAAACUGCUGAGCUAGAGUAUCGGAGGGGAAAGUGGAAUUCCUAGUGUAGCGGUGAAAUGCGUAGAUAUUAGGAAGAACACCGGUGGCGAAGGCGACUUUCUGGACGAAAACUGACGCUGAGGCACGAAAGCCAGGGGAGCGAACGGG